rnacentral:rRNA from 1 species
CGGGCGGUCGCGCGGAUCUUCAGAGAUUAGAGUUUGAUCCUGGCUCAGAACGAACGCUGGCGGCGUGGAUAAGACAUGCAAGUGGGACGCUAAUCAAAGGGUAGCAAUAUUCGUUGGUUGGAGUCGCGUAAGGGUGCGUAACACGUGGGUAAUUUGCCGUGAAGCUCGGAAUAACUUGCCGAAAGGUAAGCUAAUACCGAAUGUGACUUGUGCUGGGCAUCCAGUAUCAGUCAAAGCCGGGGAUCGUAAGACCUGGCACUUCAUGAUAAGCCCGCGGCCUAUCAGCUAGUUGGUGAGGUAACGGCUCACCAAGGCUAAGACGGGUAGCUGGUCUUAGAGGACGACCAGCCACACUGGAACUGAGACACGGUCCAGACACCUACGGGUGGCAGCAGUCGAGAAUUUUUCACAAUGGGCGAAAGCCUGAUGGAGCGACGCCGCGUGGGGGAUGAAUGGCUUCGGCCCGUAAACCCCUGUCAUUCGGGAUCAAAUCUGGCAACCUAACACGUUGUCAGUUGAUAGUACUGAAAGAGGAAGGGACGGCUAACUCUGUGCCAGCAGCCGCGGUAAUACAGAGGUCCCAAGCGUUGUUCGGAUUUACUGGGCGUAAAGGGAGCGUAGGUGGCAUUCUAAGUCUGAUGUGAAAGCUCUGAGCUUAACUCAGAAAUGGCAUUAGAUACUAGUUUGCUUGAGGAUUGGAGGGGAGAUUGGAAUACUUGGUGUAGCAGUGAAAUGCGUAGAUAUCAAGUGGAACACCAGUGGCGAAGGCGAAUCUCUGGACAAUUCCUGACACUGAUGCUCGAAAGCUAGGGGAGCAAACGGGAUUAGAUACCCCGGUAGUCCUAGCUGUAAACGGUGCACGCUUGCUGUAGGUGGAAUCGACCCCGCCUGUAGCGAAGCUAACGCGUUAAGCGUGCCGCCUGGGAAGUACGGUCGCAAGAUUAAAACUCAAAGAAAUUGACGGGGGCCUGCACAAGCGGUGGAGUAUGUGGCUCAAUUCGAUGCAACGCGAAGAACCUUACCUGGCCUUGACAUGCAAGUAGUAGAAGCCUGAAAGGGUGG